rnacentral:rRNA from 1 species
UGCCAGCAGCCGCGGUAAUACGGAGGGUGCAAGCGCUAAUCGGAAUCACUGGGCGUAAAGCGUGCGUAGGCGGAUCGACAAGUUGGGGGUGAAAUCCCGGGGCUUAACCCCGGAACUGCCCUCAAAACUGUCGAUCUGGAGACCGGGAGAGGUAAGCGGAAUUCCUAGUGUAGAGGUGAAAUUCGUAGAUAUUAGGAAGAACACCAGUGGCGAAGGCGGCUUACUGGACCGGUACUGACGCUGAGGUGCGAAAGCGUGGGGAGCAAACAGGAUUAGAUA